AGCGAACGCUGGCGGCAUGCCUAACACAUGCAAGUCGAACGAGACCUUCGGGUCUAGUGGCGCACGGGUGCGUAACGCGUGGGAAUCUGCCCUUUGCUUCGGAAUAACACAGAGAAAUUUGUGCUAAUACCGGAUAAUGUCGCAAGACCAAAGAUUUAUCGGCAAAGGAUGAGCCCGCGUAGGAUUAGGUAGUUGGUGGGGUAAUGGCCUACCAAGCCGACGAUCCUUAGCUGGUCUGAGAGGAUGAUCAGCCACACUGGGACUGAGACACGGCCCAGACUCCUACGGGAGGCAGCAGUGGGGAAUAUUGGACAAUGGGCGAAAGCCUGAUCCAGCAAUGCCGCGUGAGUGAUGAAGGCCUUAGGGUGUAAAGCUCUUUUACCAGGGAUGAUAAUGACAGUACCUGGAGAAUAAG
rnacentral:rRNA from 1 species